rnacentral:rRNA from 1 species
GGAGGAAAGCAGGGGAUCGCAAGACCUUGCGCUUUUGGAGCGGCCGAUGUCUGAUUAGCUAGUUGGUGGGGUAAUGGCCUACCAAAGCUUCGAUCAGUAGCUGGUCUGAGAGGACGGCCAGCCACACUGGGACUGAGACACGGCCCAGACUCCUACGGGAGGCAGCAGUGGGGAAUUUUGGACAAUGGGCGAAAGCCUGAUCCAGCAAUGCCGCGUGAGUGAAGAAGGCCUUCGGGUUGUAAAGCUCUUUCAGUCGAGAAGAAAAGGUCGCGACUAAUAAUCGCGACUCAUGACGGUAUCGACAGAAGAAGCACCGGCUAACUACGUGCCAGCAGCCGCGGUAAUACGUAGGGUGCGAGCGUUAAUCGGAAUUACUGGGCGUAAAGGGUGCGCAGGCGGCUUUGUAAGUCAGAUGUGAAAUCCCCGGGCUUAACCUGGGAAUUGCGUUUGAAACUACAAGGCUAGA